UACGUAGGGUGCAAGCGUUGUCCGGAAUUAUUGGGCGUAAAGAGCUCGUAGGCGGUCUGUUGCGUCGGCUGUGAAAACCCGGGGCUCAACUCCGGGCCUGCAGCCGAUACGGGCAGACUAGAGUUCGGCAGGGGAGACUGGAAUUCCUGGUGUAGCGGUGAAAUGCGCAGAUAUCAGGAGGAACACCGGUGGCGAAGGCGGGUCUCUGGGCCGAUACUGACGCUGAGGCGCGAAAGCUAGGGGAGCAAACGGG
rnacentral:rRNA from 1 species